AUGUCUGGCUCGUUUAUCGUCUUUAUGUGGUGCAAGCAGUGCUGCUAGUGCUAGAAUCCGAAGCUGGAAUUUAGCUUUGGAGUUAUUUUGAGCUAAUUUGGACUGGGCCGGCCGAGUAAAUUGAGAUUGCUGUCAAAACUUUUCAGCUACAUGUGUUCUUUUGUACAUGUUUGUUCAGUAAUCUGCCUUGUUUUCAGAUGGGAUUGCGUCUCUAUGGAGCUAUAUCUUCUGUUGCAAAGUGCAGGGUUAUCUAAUACUGAUGUAAACUCAUUUUCCAGGUAAGUUGUGUUGGAUUUGUCAAGUGGUGUUUUAUGUUUGUUAUCCAUCUCUUAUCUGUCAUUC